rnacentral:rRNA from 1 species
GACGAGCCACACGAACGUUAUUCGGAAUUACUGGGCUUAAAGGGUGCGUAGGCUGCGCGGCAAGUUGGGUGUGAAAUCCCUCGGCUCAACCGAGGAACUGCGCCCAAAACUGCCGUGCUCGAGGAAGAUAGAGGUAAGCGGAACUUACGGUGGAGCGGUGAAAUUCGUAGAUAUUCGCAAGAACACCAGUGGCGAAGGCGGCUCACUGGCCCGAUACUGACGCUGAGGCACGAAAGCGUGGGGAGCAAACAGG